GACUGACCGAUAGUGAACCAGUACCGUGAGGGAAAGGCGAAAAGAACCCCGGCGAGGGGAGUGAAAAAGAACCUGAAACCGUGUACGUACAAGCAGUGGGAGCACGCUUCGGCGUGUGACUGCGUACCUUUUGUAUAAUGGGUCAGCGACUUAUAUUCUGUAGCAAGGUUAACCGAAUAGGGGAGCCGAAGGGAAACCGAGUCUUAACUGGGCGUUAAGUUGCAGGGUAUAGACCCGAAACCCGGUGAUCUAGCCAUGGGCAGGUUGAAGGUUGGGUAACACUAACUGGAGGACCGAACCGACUAAUGUUGAAAAAUUAGCGGAUGACUUGUGGCUGGGGGUGAAAGGCCAAUCAAACCGGGAGAUAGCUGGUUCUCCCCGAAAGCUAUUUAGGUAGCGCCUCGUGAAUUCAUCUCCGGGGGUAGAGCACUGUUUCGGCAAGGGGGUCAUCCCGACUUACCAACCCGAUGCAAACUGCGAAUACCGGAGAAUGUUAUCACGGGAGACACACGGCGGGUGCUAACGUCCGUCGUGAAGAGGGAAACAACCCAGACCGCCAGCUAAGGUCCCAAAGUCAUGGUUAAGUGGGAAACGAUGUGGGAAGGCCCAGACAGCCAGGAUGUUGGCUUAGAAGCAGCCAUCAUUUAAAGAAAGCGUAAUAGCUCACUGGUCGAGUCGGCCUGCGCGGAAGAUGUAACGGGGCUAAACCAUGCACCGAAGCUGCGGCAGCGACACUAUGUGUUGUUGGGUA
rnacentral:rRNA from 1 species